UGACGAGUGGCGGACGGGUGAGUAACGCGUGGGAACAUGCCUAUCAGUUGGGGACAACCUGUGGAAACGCAGGCUAAUACCGAAUACGUUCUACGGAAUAAAGGUGGCCUCUACUUGUAAGCUAUCGCUGAUAGAUUGGCCCGCGUUGGAUUAGCUAGUUGGUGGGGUAAAGGCCUACCAAGGCGACGAUCCAUAGCUGGUUUGAGAGGAUGAUCAGCCACACUGGGACUGAGACACGGCCCAGACUCCUACGGGAGGCAGCAGUGGGGAAUAUUGGACAAUGGGCGCAAGCCUGAUCCAGCAAUGCCGCGUGUGUGAAGAAGGCCUGAGGGUUGUAAAGCACUUUCAAUUGUGAAGAAAUGCUAAUGAUUAAUACUCAUUAGUCUUGACGUUAACUUUAGAAGAAGCACCGGCUAACUCUGUGCCAGCAGCCGCGGUAAUACAGAGGGUGCAAGCGUUAAUCGGAAUUACUGGGCGUAAAGCGCGCGUAGGUGGUUUGAUAAGUUGGAUGUGAAAUCCCCGGGCUUAACCUGGGUCGGUCAUCCAAAACUGUCAGACUAGAGUAUGGUAGAGGGUAGUGGAAUUUCUAGUGUAGCGGUGAAAUGCGUAGAUAUUAGAAGGAACACCAGUGGCGAAGGCGACUGCCUGGACUGAUACUGACACUGAGGUGCGAAAGCGUGGGUAGCGAACAGGAUUAGAUACCCUGGUAGUCCACGCCGUAAACGAUGACAACUAGACGUUGGGAGACUUAGAUCUCUUAGUGUCGAAGCUAACGCGUUAAGUUGUCCGCCUGGGGGAGUACGGUCGCAAGAUUAAAAACUCAAAGGAAUUGACGGGGGGCCCGCACAA
rnacentral:rRNA from 1 species